rnacentral:tRNA from 1 species
AUUCUUAUAGUUUAUACUUUAAAAAUAUUACACUGAAAAUGUAAAGAAAUAAUAUUUAAGAAUA